rnacentral:rRNA from 1 species
UACGUAGGGUGCAAGCGUUGUCCGGAAUUAUUGGGCGUAAAGAGCUCGUAGGCGGUCUGUCGCGUCGGAUGUGAAAACCCAGGGCUCAACCCUGGGCCUGCAUUCGAUACGGGCAGACUAGAGUUCGGUAGGGGAGACUGGAAUUCCUGGUGUAGCGGUGAAAUGCGCAGAUAUCAGGAGGAACACCGGUGGCGAAGGCGGCGAUCUGGGAAGAUACUGACGCUGAGGUGCGAAAGCGUGGGGAGCAAACAGG